GAUGAACGCUAGCGACAGGCCUAACACAUGCAAGUCGAGGGGCAGCAUAAAGGUAGCAAUACUUUGGUGGCGACCGGCGCACGGGUGAAUAACACGUAUGCAACCUACCUGUAAGAGGGGAAUAACCCGGAGAAAUUCGGACUAACACCGCAUAAUACCGAUUAACUGCAUGGUUGAUCGGUUAAAUAUUUAUAGCUUACAGAUGGGCAUGCGUAACAUUAGAUAGUUGGUGAGGUAACGGCUCACCAAGUCAACGAUGUUUAGGGGUUCUGAGAGGAAGGUCCCCCACACUGGUACUGCGACACGGACCAGACUCCUACGGGAGGAAGCAGUGAGGAAUAUUGGUCAAUGGGCGAGAGCCUGAACCAGCCAAGUCGCGUGAAGGAAGAAGGUUCUAUGGAUUGUAAACUUCUUUUGUAAGGGAAUAAAAAAGCUUACGUGUAGGCUAUUGUAUGUACUUUACGAAUAAGGAUCGGCUAACUCCGUGCCAGCCGCCGCCGUAAUAC
rnacentral:rRNA from 1 species